GAUAAGGAAACUGACUAGUGAAACAACUUGAGGAAUGGAGAUGUAAACAGCUAAGCUGCCACCUGCCUCUCCGGGACCGUAUCUUGUGUAUGGUACUUCCUCUGUGGACGUUUGUGCAAUGGAUGGAUGAAUGAAUGAAUGAGGAGAAAACACACAUAGGAUUAGAUGGUGCAUCUCCCUGAAGAUCCUUAGUGUGCCUGCUCUCCAUGGGACCGGAGGCUCUCUGCAAAGAAACUCUCAAGUCACCAGCUGCUAAGGCCAGCUGGGAGGAGCCUAGCCCGUCUCCGCCAAGUUCUCGUGUAGGCCCAAAGACUAGAUCCAACGUCGAAGGAUGUGGUUUUUUGGCUUCCAAAUCAGGUAACUCUGGCUAGAACACUGAGUACCGGCCCUGCUUGCAACAGAAGGUCAUCAACAUUUUCUGAUGACCCAGUGAAUGCUAAAAAUUGUGUGAUUCUGGGGCGCCGGGCUGGCUCAGUCAGAAGACCACGCGACUCCUGAUCUUGGGAUCGUGAGUUUGACCCCACGCUGGGUGUAGAAAUUACUAAAAAAA